rnacentral:tRNA from 1 species
AGGCUCUGGGGUGUCACAUGCAGGAUUGCAAAUCCUGAGAAGCAGAUAAACUCUGCCGGGGCUUC